AUUAAGUUAUGACAAAACAAGGUUAAUCUUUUUUAGUCACGGAAAUAUAAACCAUCACGAUUUGCCUUAUAAAAUUCAUGGCUCACAUGACCUGAAACUAAAACGUGUCUGAGUCAAAACGUGUUUAUUAUAUUUUCAUGACUAAUCUGUGACAAUUUUAUCAUAUACUCUAAACCAUUAGUCUUACAAAACAAAACUCUAAACCAUAAAUCUCAAAAUUUGACCAUAAAUCUUAAACUUAAAUUCGAAAUAUAUUUUUCAAACUUUAAUCCAAAUUCCAAACCUAAACCCAACUAUAUAAUACACUAUAUCAGGAAAAUUUAAGCUUAAUCUAUUAAUCUAAUAUUUUCAAAAUUUAAACCUCGAACUUCAGUCUAAACUCCAAGUCCUAUAUUUUCAAAAUUUAAUUCAAAAUUUUAAAUCUAAACCUAUAUAGUCUUCACACCAACCCUAAAUCACAAACAUUACAAACAUUAAACCUUAAACACUUAAUCAUUAAAAAUAAAUUAUAACCCAUAAAAUCAACAUAUAACUAUUAAAUAUAUAAAUAAGGCCAACACAGAAAAUAAUUCACAUAUAUACCUUAAAAUUUGAUUCCAAAUUUUAAAUCUAAACCUAUAUAGUCUUCAC
rnacentral:lncRNA from 1 species